UAAGACUGGAUAGGAAGAUAAAAGGCAUCUUUUAUCUUUUAAAAGACCUAGUAAUAGGUAUGCUUUAGGAGGGGCUUGCGCCAUAUUAGUUAGUUGGUAGGGUAAUGGCCUACCAAGACGAUGAUGUGUAGCUGGACUGAGAGGUUGAACAGCCACAUUGGGACUGAGACACGGCCCAAACUCCUACGGGAGGCAGCAGUAGGGAAUUUUCGGCAAUGGAGGAAACUCUGACCGAGCAACGCCGCGUGAAUGACGAAGUACUUCGGUAUGUAAAGUUCUUUUAUCAAGGAAGAAAAGCAAAUGGCGAACCAUUUGUUUGCCGGUACUUGAUGAAUAAGCCCCGGCUAAUUAUGUGCCAGCAGCCGCGGUAAGACAUAAGGGGCAAGUGUUAUCCGGAAUUAUUGGGCGUAAAGGGUGCGUAGGCGGUCUAGUAAGUCAGUGGUGUAAUGGCAACGCUUAACGUUGUCCGGCUAUUGAAACUGCUAAACUUGAGUUAGAUAGAGGCGAGUGGAAUUCCAUGUGUAGCGGUAAAAUGCGUAAAUAUAUGGAGGAACACCAGAGGCGUAGGCGGCUCGCUGGGUCUUAACUGACGCUGAGGCACGAAAGCGUGGGGAGCAAACAGGAUUAGAUACCCUGGUAGUCCACGCCGUAAACGAUGAGUACUAAGUGUCGGGUUAAACCGGUACUGAAGUUAACACAUUAAGUACUCCGCCUGAGUAGUACGUACGCAAGUAUGAAACUUAAAGGAAUUGACGGGACUCCGCACAAGCGGUGGAUCAUGUUGUUUAAUUCGAAGAUACCCGAAAAACCUUACCAGGUCUUGACAUGUUUUUGCAAAAUGAUAGUAAUAUCGUGGAGGUUACCAGAAACACAGGUGGUGCAUGGUUGUCGUCAGCUCGUGUCGUGAGAUGUUAGGUUAAGUCCUAAAACGAGCGAAACCCUUAUCGUUAGUUGCCAGCACGUUAUGGUGGGGACUUUAACGAGACUGCCAAUGAUAAAUUGGAGGAAGGUGAGGAUCACGUCAAAUCAGCAUGCCCCUUAUGACCUGGGCUACAAACGUGAUACAAUGGCUGUUACA
rnacentral:rRNA from 1 species